rnacentral:tRNA from 1 species
GCUACUGUGGCUCAGGGGUAGAGCAAUUGAUUCGUAAUCAAUAGAUCGGGGGUUCGAAUCCCCCCAGUAGCU